GCCUUUCAAAAUAGAAGUCGUAUUUUUUUUUCAGAGUUCUGGAACUUAGAAGAACAAGACCCAGGUGUCGCAGGUCCUCGCUCCCGAGACAGUCACAUUGGAAUGUGGAGAGAGGCUGUACAAUUCAGUCCAUAGUACGAGUUGGCUGGAUGGUUUAUACCACUAAUGAGCCCUUUAAAUAACUGCAGCAUGGAGGGACCCUGAGACUCAGACUCUGACCUUGGUCAUUGCUUCACAGACACCAUAUCCAGAGAACUUGACUCUAACCUGGACUUCUGUUAUUGUGGGAGCAAAUACUUCAUGGAGGCUUGUUUUCCCACGAGCCAGGCACGAUAAAUGGAUCCAGCAGAAGUGAACGAAACCGAAACCCAGGCUACAGUUCUGUAUAUCCUGGAGCACCCAGAAUGAUGCAGACCCUUCAAGUUUCUUAGUUUACUACUUUGGGGAUAUUUUGAAGAGAUUUUUUUUUCUUCUUCUUCUUCAUAACCUCAAGGCCAAUGUUUCAGAGUUGAACUGCAAAUGUAUUCUGCUAUGGCCAGAGAUUCAUGGAUAUUUCAGCUACUUCUUAGGCUGUUCAAUUUCCUGUUUCAUUGAUCAGAGAGACCAUCCUUGUCCACACAGGAAUUGCAAGGUUUUUGUAGUAAUAGGAUCUAACAAUCUACAGCAGGUAGAAUAGUUCCUCUUGAUCUUCGUCUGAGAAGUCCCCCUGUCAGGAGGUAAGCAGAAGACAAAACCACUGUACGAAUUGGAUUCCUACGCCUUAUGGGUGCUCCAGGAUAUACAGAACUGUACAAAGCUAGAGGUCCCGAAGUCGGCUUUACAGAAAGCAGGGACGUGGCUAUAAUUGGGCUCUAGCCCCAAGGGAGUUUAGCUUGAGUUUUAUGUGAAUACAUCCCUGGGUUCUGUUGCCUAACUAUAAACAAACAAAUGAAUCAAUAGCAGCCAUGUAUUAGCCAUUGAGUCAGAGGUGAAUUUCAUGUGCAGUAUGUAAAGGACAUGUGCCGGUGUCUUCUCCUGGACACUGUGUCAUCUUUAUGUUUGCUGUGGAAUUAUGACAUUGGAAAAUUGGUGCCCCCCUUAAGGUCCUCCAAGGGAAAGGAACUCAUGAGCAGUUUGCUAAGGGACUGCCUGUCAACUUGGACUCAUCACGGUUUCUUGCCUUCUCUCUACCUGUUUUCUGUUUAGACAUCACUGCCUUCGUCUGGCUGUCACCAACAUGUGGCCUGGCCUAUAACAGUGGCUGUACCUGAGUCUCUAAUCCCUCCUCCAAUCAGUUGCUUCUUGGAAAAUGAAAGCAUAUGUCUGAACGUGUUCUUUUCCUGCAGGUGCCUGUGUUGGUCUCUGUCCAGUCUUCUUGCUCAGGGAGCCACACACUCCUUCAGAGUGACAACAAGAUACCUCACAAAUUGCAGACUAAGCCAAGCAUUUAACGGCUAAUAGUUCUGUGGGGAGACUCAAGAGAUAACUGGUGUUGGUGUUGACCAGAGAGAGCUAGCUCAGAGGGUGUUACAAAGAGAGAGCUAGUUCAGAGGUGGUUGCAAAGAAUGUGUUCAUAACCCCCCAGCCCUCAUUCUCUCUCUUCCACGAUACUCCUCUUUGCCCCUUUGCCUCACCCUGUUCUCCCUUUGCUCUGAUGGCUUAGGUGGAUGAGUAGAUGGGGUUGAUAUCUGCUCCUGAGUUGGUCACUUGCUGCUGUACCCUGAGUUGAUUUCCUCAGCACAUCUGGGAACAUCUGCCUACACUGAAGACUUUCUGAGCUUGGAGGAGCAUUCAGUCUAUAGUGUCCAACAUAGCUCCUGGGGCUUAGCCAUUGCUUCUUCAAUGGUGGUGGUUUGCUUGAGCACAUUUUCAUAUUCUACUACUCUCAAAAACUCACUUAAAAGUUUUUUUUUCCCCACCCCAACCCCAGACUUGCAUAUUGGCUCUUGGAAAAGUCUGUUCAGUGAAUACCUUGAUGCCCUUGUCUCUCAGGAAGCCAUCAUAUAUAUUUGUGGCUAUAAAUUCCUACCUUCCUAUCCUGCAACAGACUUUACAAGGUGGUAAGCAAGAGAUUCUUUCAAUGUGUAUUUAAAAGUCAAAUUAAAAUUCCAGCUUCCGUAUUUUCAUUUUCUUGGAUUUUGAUGCUGUUUGUGUAGAGAAUAAAAAAAGAAUGUAAAGAUAGUCGAGACAGAUUACAUUUAUGUCUUAGUUUGGGUUUCUAUUGCUAUGGUGAUAGAGCACCAUGACCAAAAGCAACCAGGGGAGGAAAGGGCUUAUUUCAUCUUGCAUCUUGUAAUCUGUGAUUCAAGGAUAGGAAAUCAAGGCAGAAACCUCGAUGUGGGACCUGAUUACAGAGGCUGUGGAGGAGUGCUACCUACUGACUUGCUCCUCGUGGCAUGUUUUCUUAUACAUUCAAGGACCAUCUGCCUAGGGGCAGCACCACCACAUCAAUUAUUAAUUGAGAAAAUACCCCACUGGUUUGCCAAUAGGUCAGUCUGAUGGGAGAGUCUUUCUCAAUUGAAAAAGAUUCCUUCUUCCCAAAUGACUAGCUUGUGUCAAGCUGACAAAAGA